ensembl:lncRNA
CUGUGGUGCUUGAGGUACUUACUAUAAAGCACUGAGGGUAUUUCCCUGAUGAAACAGGUUUGGACCUCUUAGUUCCAGUGAAGGGAAAUUGUAAUGCUACAUCUUUGCAUACAAAGACAUUCUAUACAGUUGUGUGCUUCCAACUUUGUGGCAAAAGUUUGGAGAAGAACCACUUAUGGGUGUGAUUGUCAAGUGUCCACAUACUUUUGGCCAUAUAGUGUAUGCUGAUUUUUCUUUGUUUUUCUUCAGAAGCAUGAAGAUGUUUUAAAUUAUACGUGGUUACCCAUUUGUUCUUCCUCCUACUUUUCUGCUUUCCUGUGGUUUGCAUAUAUAGAAAAUAUUUCAUAUGUCACUCUGUUUAAGGGCAUCUUCCAAAUGUCAUAAAUGUAAAAUGUGUAUGAAUUUUAACAUUCUUUGGAUUUUAGGACCUUGAAUUUGAUAAGAAAAUAUAUUCUAAAACAUUAUAAAUUAUGAACAAGUAAUAAUAAGUACAGUAUAAUGAAUAUUUGAAUAUCCACAUACAGUAUAUGUAUGUGAUAGAAGUUUUCCAGUUUAUUAAGUAGACUUGUAUGUACUCAGCUGCACUUAACCACAGCAUUGCUGUAGUUUUUAAACACUGGGCUUCCACUGAGAUGGGUGAAGUAGAGUUGAUCUCUACUUCUUAUUUAGCACGGACUAGUAGGGGAAUCUUACAGUUCAGGCUUGCCACUUUUUUUUUUUAACCGCUGUAUCCUUUCUGAUUUGAGAACAAGAGUAAGCAAAAUUUUCCAGUGGAGAGGCUAUGGGCUUGACUCAAAUUAUAGGUUUAUGGUAUCCCAAGUGGCACAACAGGAAAUCUCUUAUUUUGAGUUUAAAUGGUGCCACAGCCUUUCGUGGCUGGGAGUCCAAGAGAGCUCUGAGGGAGGAAAGGGUGUCAUACACUCUCUCGCUCUCUCUCAAUCUCUCAAUCACAGCAACACUAGCCAAUCAUGGCUGUGUCUGAGCUCAUACAUACCCCUGAUGUUGCAUGAGUAGCAGUUCAAAAAGAUGUGUUCAGCUGGCUUCACGUGCCUUGGAGGAACGUGCCUUGCCCUCCAUGGUUGUAUCUGUUGUGUGAUCUAAGUGGAGGGUGGGAAUUGGCCAAGACUAAAUUAGGGAGAAAAUUGGGAGUUAAUUUCAAUGUUUUUGUUUGUUUGUUUGUUUUGGUUUGGGUUUUUUUUACACAUCACAUAAUAUAAGUACUAUUUUAUGCAGUCUGUUGAAUGUAUUCUUCGAGACGCAUACAUAUCGAAUCAACAGCCAUGUAUCAAAUGAUUGAUUUAGAGUACUUUAAAGUAGCUGAGAUCUAGUUGUUUUGUGAAAGCUACUGACAGCGUAUAGGAAAGAGAAAAUUAUUAUUGUUGUUGUUGUUGUUGUUAUUAUUAUUAUUAUUAUUAUUAUUAUUAUUAUUAUUAUUAUUAUUAUUAACAAUAAGUUUGUUUAGAUUUUUAUUAUUAAUAAUAAAUACUUGAAUUUCAGGGCCUUAAUUAUCCAAAGAAUGUAAACAAUACCACUGUUUUGCCAUGUAUAUUUGUAUUGUAUUACAGUAACCACUUUACUCACACCAUCAAAUGCCUUAAGUGAGUAAGUACUGUUUUUAGCCUUAAAAUUCCACAUCAUUAAGGCACAUAUUUGUAAUUGUAAAGCUGUGGAAGCUAAUGCAAUGACAUGCUGUGCCAGUGAGGACACAUUUCAUUCAUUUAUUAGUGUUUCAGACUGUUCAGGUCAGCUGUACAUACUUCACACAGCACAUCCUCAUACAUGUAAUCAUUUAAAUAUUUGUGUGCAUGGUGAGUUACCCUGGCUAUUUAAAUUGCUAUAUAUAUAUAUAUAUAUAUAUAUAUAU